rnacentral:rRNA from 1 species
UACGGGGGGGGCAAGCGCUGUUCGGAAUUACUGGGCGUAAAGGGCUCGUAGGCGGCCAACUAAGUCCGACGUGAAAUCCCCAGGCUUAACCUGGGAACUGCGUCGGAUACUGGAUGGCUUGAAUCCGGGAGAGGGAUGCGGAAUUCCAGGUGUAGCGGUGAAAUGCGUAGAUAUCUGGAGGAACACCGGUGGCGAAGGCGGCAUCCUGGACCGGCAUUGACGCUGAGGAGCGAAAGCCAGGGGAGCAAACGGG